AUUGAACGCUGGCGGAAUGCUUUACACAUGCAAGUCGAACGGUAGAGGGGGCAACCCCUUGAGAGUGGCGAACGGGUGAGUAAUGCAUCGGAACGUGCCUAUCAGUGGGGGAUAACGCUUCGAAAGGAGUGCUAAUACCGCAUAUUCUCCGAGGAGGAAAGCAGGGGACCUUCGGGCCUUGCGCUGAUAGAGCGGCCGAUGUCGGAUUAGCUAGUUGGUGAGGUAACGGCUCACCAAGGCUACGAUCAGUAGCUGAUCUGAGAGGAUGAUCAGCCACAUUGGGACUGAGACACGGCCCAAACUCCUACGGGAGGCAGCAGUGGGGAAUAUUGGACAAUGGGCGCAAGCCUGAUCCAGCCAUGCCGCGUGAGUGAUGAAGGCCUCGGUUGUAAGACUCUUUGUCCGGGUAA
rnacentral:rRNA from 1 species